GACGAACGCUGGCGGCGUGCUUAACACAUGCAAGUCGAACGGAAAGGCCCUGCUUUUGUGGGGUGCUCGAGUGGCGAACGGGUGAGUAACACUUGAGUCACCUGCCCUUUACUUUGGGAUAACUUCUGGAAACUUGGGUUAAUACCGGAUAGGAGCUCCUGCUGCAUGGUUGGGGUUGGAAAGUUUCGGCGGUUGGGGAUGUACUCUCGGCUUAUCAGCUUGUUGGUGGGGUAGUGGCUUACCAAGGCUUUGACGGGUAGCCGGCCUGAGAGGGUGACCGGCCACAUUGGGACUGAGAUACGGCCCAGACUGCUACGGGAGGCAGCAGUGGGGAAUAUUGCACAAUGGGCGGAAGCCUGAUGCAGCAACGCCGCGUGCGGGAUGACGGCCUUCGGGUUGUAAACCGCUUUAGCCUGUGACGAAGCGUGAGUGACGGUAAUGGGUAAAGAAGCACCGGCUAACUACGUG
rnacentral:rRNA from 1 species